CCCUUGGACACGGGGCCUAGCUGGCAGACCAAGCCACUAGCAGCAGGCCUUUGAGGAGGGACAGCCAGGCCUUGCUUCUGGUUCCUCCUCACGUGAUAAGCCCUCACCAUAUAUACUCGGCCGCGCCAUCCCCAGAACAGACGAACACCAUGAACUGAAAUAAAGCCCUCCUCCCUCCAGCGGCUUGGGUCAAAGUCAUCUGCCACAGUGAGAGGACACGUAACUAAUAUAAAUAGAAAGGCAGAGUUUGGACAGACCCGUGGCUUCGAUGAUUUCCCUUCUCUGCUGGCCUCACAAGAAGCAGAGGAAAAGGAUCAAGGAAAGGAAAGUGAAGUUGUGGAUGUAAACCGGAAGAUGGUUUAGCCAGUCAGCUGGCGAGAUUCCCCUUCUCAUCUUGGCUAUAUUUGCGCUGUCUUAAACUUCCCAUGGUGCUUUUCACCGGGCGCUGGAAUCCGACAACUUUGGAGGAGAUCCCAAAUCCGGAUUAAGAAUCACUAUACCAUGCUCUCCUGGAUACGUCUGAAGACAUUGAUCAAAUGGGAAUAUGAUGCUUCACUGUUACUCCUGAAGACAAAGGUAGGUUUCAUAUUGAAAGUGGUUGGGAUAAGCUUUUGAGUAACACUGGAAAUAAGAGUCUUUCAUCACACUGUUCUGAUCUUUAAACACUCCAGAGAUAGUGGGCAUUUUCCCAAUGGGAGCCAUAUUGGAAAACAAGAGAGUAUUGGGUCAUGAAGGCAAGGAAUCACAAGUAUUUCAAGAAGACAAUGACCAACUACGGUCAAGGCUCCUAAGAUGUAGCAACAGACAAAUGUCCCCUGCACCCAUUUCCUCCUGUUUUCUUUUAGUAAAAGAAGCCACAAACUAACAUUAGUGGCCACUAACGUAGGUACUACAUUUUCUAGGCCCCUUUGCAGGUUGGUAUGGCCACGUGACUGAGGUCGAGACAGCAGAUUGUGAGAACAAAGGAAUAUAUAUAUAUAUAAGUACUAGAUGAGUGUGCACCCUCCCCUUCCCUUUGAAUGCCCUCAUAGACUCAUGUGUUUGAAUGCUUGGCCCAUAGGGGGUGGCACUAUUAGGAGGUGUGGCCUUAUUGGAGUAGGUGUGGCCUUGUUGAGGAAGUGUGUGACUGGGUGGGGGUCAGGCUUUGAGGUCUCAUAUACGCUCAAGCUAUAUAAACUCAAUGUGGGACAGUUCACUUCCUGUUGCCUGGGGAUCAAGAUGUAGAACUCUCAGCUCCUCAGCACCAUGUCUGCCUGAAUGCUGCCAUGCUUCCUGCCAUGAUGAUAACAGACUAAAUCUCUGAAACUGUAAGCCAGCCCCAAUGAAAUGUUUUCCUUUACAAGAGAUGCCAUGGUCAUGGUGUCUCUUCACAGCAAUGGAAACCCUAAGACACCCUCUUAUUUCCCAGUUUCCAUGAACUUGAAUGUGGAUCUGGCAGUGGCUCACCUUCAGUCAAGGACAUGGGGGCAGGGUUUUGAUGAACAUCAAAGGAACCGAUGAGGAGAAUGUGGACCCCUGAAUGAUUUUGUGCAGCAGAUCUGUCUGCCUGAGGUGAAUUGCCAGCACCCUCUGCUCCCUUGUGAAGAAAGAAAUGAACUCCUCCAGCAUCUCUGUGUGCAGGGGUCUCCUUGGUACUCCAGCCAACACUACAACUAAUUCACACAUCAGAAAAGAUGGCAGAGAAGUUAUAUGGAGCUGAGGGGUGGCUGACUUCGAUGAUUUCAGACAUAUGGCUGCAUCAGAAACCUGAUAGAGAAUUAAAAAGCUAAUCUUUACAGCCCCUAUCCCACCUCCCAUGACCAUUAUAGGUUCUAGAACAGUGAAGAACAAGUGAGGUGAUCUGUCCUGUGGUACUUGCCUUCUGAUAGACAGGUUAUAAAAUAAAUACAUCAACAAACCACGAGCCCACCACCAACUAAUCACCCUCAGUAGCAAACUGUCUGGGGUAGGAAAGAAAUGUGAGGCAAGGGUCUCUCACAGCAAAUUCAGAGCCCCAGAGGCAGGGAUUCACAAUCUCAAUAUCCUGUUUCAAUUAUGCUUUAUUUUAAUCAGGUGACUUAAAUUUUCAGACAGAAAAAAAAAAUCCCUCAAACUCAUUUCAUGGGUAAUUUCACUUCCCUGGCAGCUAGCAGGACAGUAUCACCAGAUGAAAGCUUAUAUUCAGUACCAAUUAAUCUAUCAAGUAAGGUUUCUUUUCUGGCCUGAGCUGCUCUGGAAACUAUCAACUAUUGCACUGGUCUCCUCCUGCCAGAUGGGUCUGCCAUCAGUACAUAUCCACUUCCUCUCAGGAUGCACCAGCUUCCUCUCAGCUCAGACCUGUUUUCUCUCAGCUCAUACCUGUUUUCUCUCAGCACAUACCUGCUUCCUACCAGCACACACCUGUUUUCUCUCAGCUCAUACCCCCUUCUCUCACAUUUCUUUCCUACCACAGACAGUUUGCUACUGAGGGUGAUUAGUUGGUGGUUUCCUUUUAGAAACUUAACCAUGUCGAUGUGUAUGUUCCUAAUAAAACAGGCCAUUUUGAACCAGUGUCCUGGAGAAGUUAAGAGGCUAUUCUGGGUGAAGGUGGCUUCAUGUAGUCCUGUGAUGAGAUGAUUUAGUAGUAGGUAGGUGUUUCGAUGGCCCUCGUGAAACACACACAGUAGGAAGGAAGGAAAAAUGUAUAGUAACACAACGUUUCCCUUUAUGAUAAGGACCAUGCAAAGCAGGACUGGAGAGGUGGUUCAGCAGUUAAGAGCACCUGUUGUUCUUCCGAAGGACACACUACGACAGGCAGCUCCUAGCCACCAGUAACUCCAGCUUCAAGGGACCCAAGGCCUUCAGCCUCUGAGGACAUCGGCACCAGUGUGCACAAACCUGUACCAGGCUUUUUCUUUUAGGCCACCAACCAGCUCCCAAAUCAUGACACAGAGACUUCUUAUUAGUUUUGAAUGUUCAGCCUCACUUAGGCACAUUUCUGGCCAGCUCUUUUAACUAAAAUUAACCUGUUUCCCUUUGUCUGCCUUUGGCCUCAGGGCUCAUUACCUGUCUUACUUCUGUAUAUCUUACUUUGACCGCUUCUCAUGUCUGGGUGGUUGGCAUCUGCCCAGCUUCUGGCCCCGGGUGUGCUCCUCAUUCUCUCCUUUCUUCUUUCCUUGCUCCUUUUUUUUUUCUUGAGCUAGAUUUCUCCUAUUUAUUCUCUCUGCCUGGCAGCCACACCUAUCCUUUCUCCCCCUAUAUAUUAUCCAAUCAGCUUUUUAUUAGACCAAUCAGGUGCCUUAGGCAGGCAAGGUGAAACCAAUGUAACACAUCUUUACAUAAUAAAACACUCACCCUUACAUUGUUAAACAAAUACAGCAUAAAUAAAAGUAACACAUCUUUACACAGUUAAAUAUUCUGCAGCAUAAACAAAUGUAACACAUCUUUGCCCAGUUAAAAUAAUAUUCCACAACACAUACCCAUAUAAACACACACACACACACUUAAAUAUUUUAAAAAAUAGUUUUUGUAACACCUUUUAGUAGAAAUUAUUCAUGUACAUCUUCAUUGGUCUGAAAAUGUACUUCCUCUUUACUUUCCAGGUAAGAUUUGUUGGGUCUUGAAAUACUAAAUAGUCUUUUUUUCUUUAGCAGCUUGAGUAUACCAAUCUCUUACUGUCUGGACUUCAUUAAUUUUCAUACAUUGUAAGCUAUUACAUAUAUAUAUUAACUGUAUGUGGUUUGUAAUUAUUCUCUUUCCAUUUUCAAAAUUUUAUCUGUUUUUCUGAAGUUUGGCUAUGAUAUUUCUUAGUGUGGUUCUCUUUGCAUUCAGUCAGCUUGUUAGUUGGAUGUCUCAGCUUAUUAUAUAGGAACAGUUUUACUAUAUUGGAAAAGUGUGGCAUCAUUUCUCCUAAACUGUUUAGGAUCUCCUCUGCUAUAUGUGUAAUGUUUCCCAUUUUCUUUCACGUCUUAAUUUUUUUGUAACAUUCAUUUACUGGAGAGAGGCCCAUGAUUGAUUGUCACAUCAUACUAGUGAAGGACACAGGACAACAUGUAGGAGUCAGUUCUCUUCUACCAUGUAGGUCCUGGGAAUGAAACUCAAAUGGUCAGGCUUGGUGGCAAGUGCCUUUAUCCACUGAGCCCUCUCCCCAGCCCUCUCAUCCUUUUCUAUUUGCUUGUGUUCCUUUGGGACUAGUUAGAUAAUCCGUUGCUCCAGCACUCGAACUCACGUUUUCCUUCUUCUGAGAUCACCAAUCUGAAGUUGAAUUCAUCUCACGAAUUUGAAAUUUCAGCUAUUGACUUUUUUCAAGCUAUAGAAUUUCCAUUUGGUAUUAUUUGUAGUGUCUGUUUUUCUACUGUUGCUAGUUUGAAGAUGGGUUGUUAGCAUAUUUCCCACAAACUCUUGGAAGGUGUUUACUUUGACAUCUUUUAAUCCUAAAAUCCAGCGUCUGAGCCUACUUGGACUCAGUUCCCACUGACUGUUUUUUUAAUGUAUUAAAUGGAAACAUUUUUUUUGUAUUUAUUUAUUUUGCUUGUUUAUUUUUACAUCUCAAUUGCAGUUCCCCCUCCCUUGUCUCCUCCCAGUUCCUUCUUCCCACCCCACCCCCCAGCCACUCCUCCUCCAUUUCUCGUGGGUGGGGGGGGAGGGCAGGCCUCCCAUGGAGAUCAACCAGCUAUGGCAUUUCAUAGCUGUGAGACUAGGCACCUCCUAUCCUAUCAAGGCUGGAUGAGGCAACCAGGUAGGAGAAAAGGGUCCCAGAAGCAAGUAACAGUCAGAGACAGCCCCUGCUCCUACAUUUUGAAGUCCCACAAGAAGACCAAGCUACAUAACUGUAACAUAUAUGCAGAAGGCCUAAGUCAGUCCCAUGCAGGCUCCCUGGUUGGUGGCUCAGUCUCUGUGAGCCCCUUCGAGUCAAGGUUAGUUGAUUCUGUGGGUUUUCUUGUGGUGCCCUUGACCCCUCUGGCUCCUACAAUCCUACUGACUUUUUAAGAAUGAGUUGCUUCUUGUAUAUUCAAAUGAUGGAAAUUUUUAAAUUGAAAAUUGGACAGUGUAGCUAAUAGACUGUAAUAAAUAUUCUCAGUUUCAAUAUUUUCAAGCAUUACUUUACAUUUUAGUAAAUUGUCCAUACUUAAGUAGGGAAUUAGCUGUGCCCUAAUAUUCAGCUUCUGAUGUCUUUCUCAGAUUGAUGAUUACUUGAUUUACCCUCAUUACCAAAGGUCCCCAUGCCUGUGUAGUGUAGAGGCCCAGCGAUUAAGCAUCAGCAGUCAGAUUCAGAUAUUCUGAGCCCAUAAAACUUUAACCCUGCAUUGUUCAGCUCUGUUGAGGAAAUUCUUCUGGAGUGUGAUGGGUUUUGUUUGUUUUUAUGAUUAAUUUAUGUUUGUUUGUGAAAAUGUCUCUGCCUGUAAUUCAGCCUAGCCUUGAACUCAUUAUGCAGUCUUGGAUUGCCUCAAAUUUUCAAUGAUCCUCCUGCCUCAGUCUCCCAAGUGCUGGGACUACAGGUGUGAGCCAUCUGGGACUACAGGUGUGAGCAAUUAUGCCCCGCAAAUGCUUUCUUUUUUUAAUCUUUCUUUUUUAUUCAUUCUGUGUGUCUUUCAUAUCAUGCAUCUUGAUCCCACUCAUUACCUCAUCCCUUUGUAUCUGCCCUCCACCCUUCGCCCCUGCAACCCCCCCAAAAAAAAUUUAAGAGAAAAAAAGGAACAGAUAAAAUAUCUCAUCAUGGAAGCUGCAGUGUGACACAGUGAGUCACGCGGUAAACCCCUCUGUCUAUGUAUAUUCAUUUGCAAGUGUUCAUUGCAAACAAGGCAUCAUUGGUCGGGUUCAAGGCCUCUGUUUUCUGUUGCACUAUUGAUGCUGGGCCUGCGCUGCGCUGGGACUCUUCUUGGAUAGCCUGUUGUUGCCCUGCAAACUCUUAAGUCUCCUUCAGUCUCCACCUGCUGGCAGGUGUUCCGAGAUGUCCCCCAUGCAGUUAUCCAGAACCACGUGAGGAGUCGAGCUGCUUUUCGUCUGCCUUGAGCUGAAACAGGAGGUAUUGUCUGCUGAAGCUCCAAGCUCCGUACCCGUACCCUCGCACUCAGUGGAAUUUGUCACCUCUUGCUGGAGAGACACAGGUUUGCCUCUUACAGAAACGAAUCUGUGUCCUCUAGAUUAUGGGCUUGGCGGCUUGCCCGGGGAAGAAGGACAGCAGUGUUCCAGCAGACCAAUAAGUUUGUCGUAAAUAGCCUCCAUUUGUUUUCUGCCUUUGGUCAUUUUCUUGUGCUUGGAGAUAAUUGUUUAUAAUAAUUCUGCCCACUUUUCAACAUUUUUUUCACAAAGGAAGAAAUUUACCAUAGAUUUAAAAAAAAAAAUCAUACCUAAGAACUUGCUACUAUGCUUAUGAUUGCCAACUACCAAAUAUUCUGUGUGUGUGUGUGUGUGUGUGUGUGUGUGUGUGUGUGUGUGUGUGUGUGUGUUUUGUUGUAUGUGCAUGUAGGCACAUGUAUGUGCAUGGUACAUGGGCAUCAUGUAUAUGGGGGGAGCAGAGGUUAAUUCUGAAUGUCUUUUUCAAUCACUCUUUGCCUUAUUUUUCUGAGACAGCAUCUCUCAGUGAACCUGGAGCUCACUGACUCUGCCAGGUAGCUGACCUGUGAGAUCUAGGGAUCUGUCUCCCCUCCCCAACACUGGGAUUAGAAAUGCACAGCAUUAUGGCCAGAUUCUAGUGUGGGUGCUGGGAAUUGACUCAGGCUUUCAAGCUUACACAGCAUUCAGGCUCCCAAUUGUCUUCCCAACACCUAUACUUUAAAAGAACAAUAUUGGAAGAUACUCUAUUGUAAAAAAAAAAAAAAUCUUAUAAAAUGCAAAGGAGCAAUGAGAAUGUCUCCUAAUGCUCCUAAAUUGUACUGCUGUUGUGUCUAUGGAGAGGUACAUCUAAGAACUUUUUUCCAUGGGAGCAGAAUGUCCUCACAUAUUGAUGGGCAAGUACUGAUUUAAAUAAGUGUAAAAAUAUGUCGGUAACUACAAAUCCCAGCAUGGAUCAUGUUAAGUAACUAAGGAAUACUGCAAGGUGUACAGGAAAGAGCAGACUUGGUUUUUACUGAGUCUCACAGAUGUUGAAUGGAGAGCUGGUAGGCCAACAGAGUUCUGCUGGAACAGGUAAGGUGACCCGGAAAUCAAGCUGAUAGUGCAUGGCCAUGUUAACUGGCUUCCUGGAUACUAUGACAUUGGCUGGGGAAUGUGCCAUAACAAGAGCCAAGGUAAGGAAGGCCAAGUCACCCAGAGCCAACUCUGAAAGACAGUUGCUGUCCAUGCCUCAGAGACCAAUGGGGUACUCCACAAUCAAGGCACAAGUCACGGUCAGAGGAUCCCUGAAUCAAGGACAUUUCCUCUCCCUUCUCUGCUCACACCUUUGCCUUGUUGUAGGGAGGGAAGUCUCCGUGAGAGGUAGAGCCAUUUGAUUUACUAGAGGGCCAAUGUGAAAUACUGGGAUGAACUCAGUGCGAAAGCAGGUUGGACAUUUUCUUCAUAGUUUACAGCCAGCCAGUGCCUGGGGAGCUUACAUAAAGGGCUGUAUUAGUUAUAGACCAAGUCAAGAAAUUGUAUUUUUUCUGUACAUGACUUAUUGUUGAGUUAAAUGAUAUGACCUUCCUCCCUCAGAUAUAUAUUCCAUGUGGAAGGCAGGAGAAAACGAAGCCAAAAUUUCUAGGAAAGCCCGGGGCUGGACAGCACAGUUACUUACUGGAGAAAGAAACAAGAAAUUCCCUGGACUGCUCAGGAGGGGAGGCUCCGAGGCCGCAGCUGUGGGAGUGUCGAUCCCAGACAGUGUUGGAGCUGAUUUGAAUCUGCUUGGAUGAUUCAGUCCAGGACUAUUGGUCUGUGCUGACAGCUUCUGUCUGUUCUGAAUCUCUUCUCUUCAUUAUUCUUCUUUUUUAAUUUUGUCGGAGCUGAGGACCGAACCCAGGGCCUUGUGCUUGCUAGGCAAGUGCUCUACCACUGAGCUAAAUCCCCAACCCCUCUUCGUUAAUCUUUAUCCUGGUCUUUUGGUCCUGUCAGUGUUUUCUACAAUGGUGGCUCAGUGGUUGGGGAAGUCUGUCCCUCUCUGCUUUUGGCUUCCUUGUUAGAUCUCAUUUCCUGGAGUGCUCAUAAAUUGUACAAUAAAUAUAUUCAUUAUAGUAAGGCAUUUGGAGGUCUAUUUUCCUCUCCAAGUUAACUGUGUGUAAACUAAAACAAAACAAAACAAACAAAAAAACAAAACACCUAGUCCAAAUGUAAGGUCAUGAACUUGUGAAGAGAUUGUUAAUGAUGUGUUUUGCAGGAGUCUCAUAUGCAAAAAAAUCUUGGAAAUGUUCUUAUAAAACUACAGACUCUCCCCACUGAAGGAAAUCCCCAGCAAAGUGAAGAGAUAACCAACAGAAGGAGAAUAUUUGCAAGCCAUACAUCUGACAAGGGCUUAAGGGUCAGAAUACACAAGGAACUUCAGAAACUCAAGAGCAGAAGACCAGCCAACCCGAUUAAAGACUGGGCAAUAGACCUAAGGAGACUGUGAUGGGAAUUCAUUCCAUUCAGCCAAUGGCUUUGGGGUACAAGCCCUAGGGCGUGGCUUUGUCUGCCUAUGUGACCCCUUAAGAACUGAGGGGGAGGAGUCGUUUGCUUUUUUGGAUGGUCGAGACCAGGUGAAACGGUAGAAAGUGACUUGCUGUUGCAGAGACCUUGCUGAGAAAGAGACAUCCCAAUGGCUAAUAGGUAUAUGAAAGCAUUUUCAAUAUUUCUAAUCACCAGGUAGUUAUAAAUCAGGUGCACAGCAGAUCUUAGAAGUAUGACUUCCUGAAUAGUCAGACUUGAGCGCGAAAUUCUUCACUCUUCUUGUUUCAUAGACCUGGUUCUUUGUGCCAUACCCCAGAAGACCCACUCCUACAGCCCUUUGCACCUGACUGGAAAGUGAGGAUUUUAAGUCCAUACCUCAGAGGCCACAGUUAGAAUUCUACCCAUACAAACACCCAGGAUUCAUAAUGCUAAGUAGUACUAGGUAAUAGAUUUGGAAACACUGGGCCACUGCUUUCAAACAGAUGUUUAGAACACUAUUGAUAUCUCUUAUAAAUUGGCGGACACUUUACUUUUGUGGCUUCAGAUUUGAAACUUGAUCAAAGUAAUCCUUCUAGGAGUAAGCAACCAGAAAUCCAGGAGUAAGCACCCUGAAAAGUGAAUGUGACUCCCCAUGAAUCAGUACCAAAUGCUUAUAAAGUGGAUUUUCCCCUUGGCUCUGAACUAAUUCGUACAAAGCUGCAUUUGGAUGAGUGGCAUUCAUGUGCCUUAAAAACAGCCAAAUUUAAUUCUCACUGAGGUGCAUAGGGGUUUGAAAAUUUAAAAUGUGUGCUUGGAGUUUUUAGAGUUUAAGUAACUGAAUGCGUAUGUCAGUGCAAAUUAUUUUCAAGUUUCCCAUGCUUGCUUCCAUUUCUGCUCAGUACAGGCUCAAUUUUUAUUUUUUAAAAAAUUUAAAUUUAAAUGCUAAUCGUGCAUGUGCAUGUGUAUGAGUUGUGAAUUUUUGUGUGCACGGAGGCAUGGAGGCCAAAGGAUAACCUUGGGUUGUUCCUCAGGAACUUUUCACAUUUUCUUCUCCCCACCCCCUCUCUCUGAGCCAAGAUCACUUGCUGCCUGUCUUGGAACUUACCAAGUAGGCUAUGCUAAACAGGCUGGCUAGUGGAUCCCAUUUGUCUUUAUCUCCCCAGCAUGGGAUUAAAAGCAUGCUGGGAUUGAACUUGAAUGAGUUCUGGGGACCACACUCAGGAGCUCACACUUGUAGGGUAAACACUUUACAGACUGAGCCAUCAUCUCAGCCCCUAAAGCCAAUUGUUAAAGGAUGUAUAAUUCAUGUGUUUCUUUUUUAAAUUUAGAUUUAUUUUAACAAAUAAACCAUGUGUAUGACUA